rnacentral:tRNA from 1 species
GUUGACUUAGCUAAGUAAGCACUCUGUUUAAUAUAGAGAGAAAUUGAUUUUGUAUCAUUAGUUGACU